rnacentral:lncRNA from 1 species
AUUGCCUUGGACUUAACACGUGUUCCUUAUCAGCUGGCUGCUGUCCUUUGACUUCCACCAGAUGGUGUGCUUCCUGGAGGCACAGGUUCUGUCUUUCAUUAAGACCUGACCCAUCUCAGGACAUGAAGCACUCUGGGCAAGAGGUAUGAGCCGGGAUGAAGUGGACUCCUUGUCUGGAGGUGGUGCUACACACCUUGGAGGGGCUCCUGGGAGCUACUGAGAAUGUCCCCUAAGUCAGUAUUCCUGCCUCAGCUGAAAUGCCAGUCUUCAGCCUCAUCUACUGCACACUUGAGUCCAUGAGAUUUUAGAGUGUGCACCCCACUUAGGAGUUGGCUGGACCAGAACAGGGGAGACAGAGGAAUAGU